GCUACGGGGAGGAGCACAUAUCCGUCAAUCCGUAGAUUUCCGAAUGGGGGAACCCACCUAUAGUAAUGUGUAGGUAUUUUCGUAUGAAUCUAUAGUACGAAUAAAGGCAACCCGGGGAACUGAAACAUCUAAGUACCCGGAGGAAGAGAAAGAAAAAUCGAUUUCCUAAGUAGCGGCGAGCGAAAGGGAAAGAGCCCAAACCAAUGUGCAUGCAUAUUGGGGUUGUAGGACUCUCAACAAAGCGUAUGACAAAGUAUAGUAGAACUAUUUGGAAAGAUAGACCGUAGAAGGUAAAAGUCCUGUAUACGAAAUGCUAAGUUGGCGUGAGAGAGCACCUGAGUACGGCGGAACACGAGGAAUUCCGUCGGAAUCUACCAGGACCAUCUGGUAAGGCUAAAUACUACCUAGUGACCGAUAGUGAACCAGUACCGUGAGGGAAAGGUGAAAAGAACCCCGGGAGGGGAGUGAAAGAGAACCUGAAACCGUGUGCUUACAAGUAGUCAGAGCCCUUUAGGGGGUGAUGGCGUGCCUUUUGUAGAAUGAACCGGCGAGUUACUUUAUCAUGCGAGGUUAAGUGGAAGACAUGGAGCCGAAGCGAAAGCGAGUCUUAAUAGGGCGAAAUAGUAUGAUGGAGUAGACCCGAAACCAAGUGAUCUACCCAUGGCCAGGUUGAAGUUUAGGUAACACUGAAUGGAGGACCGAACCAGGACACGUUGAAAAGUGUUUGGAUGAGCUGUGGGUAGCGGAGAAAUUCCAAUCGAACUCGGAGAUAGCUGGUUCUCUCCGAAAUAGCUUUAGGGCUAGCCUCGUUGUGAGUUUACUGGAGGUAGAGCACUGUUUGGACUAGGGGCCCAUCCCGGGUUACCGAAUUCAGACAAACUCCGAAUGCCAGAUAAAUAUCAACGGGAGUCAGACUGCGGGUGAUAAGGUUCGUAGUCGAAAGGGAAACAGCCCAGACCGCCAGCUAAGGUCCCAAAUUGUAUGUUAAGUGGAAAAGGAUGUGAUGAUGCACAGACAACCAGGAUGUUGGCUUAGAAGCAGCCACCAUUUAAAGAGUGCGUAAUAGCUCACUGGUCGAGUGACAUCGCGCCGAAAAUGUACCGGGGCUAAACAUACAACCGAAGCUGCGGAUAUAACUAAUGUUAUAUGGUAGGAGAGCGUUCUAACAUCAUAGAAGCCGAACUGGAAGGUGAGGUGGAGAGGUUAGAAGUGAGAAUGCCGGUGUGAGUAGCGAAAGAUAGGUGAGAAUCCUAUCCACCGAAAGACUAAGGUUUCCAGAGGAAGGCUCGUCCGCUCUGGGUAAGUCGGGACCUAAGGUGAAGCCGAUAGGUGAAGCCGAUGGACAACAGGUAGAAAUUCCUGUACCACCGAAUAUCGAUUGAGAGAAGUGGGGACAGAGGAGGCUAAUUGAUCGCCCUGAUGGAAU
rnacentral:rRNA from 1 species